UGAAUACGAGACGCUACGGCGUCGAAGCAGUCUAUGUCAUACUUCCAAGAAAAGCUUGCACUGUCAUAAACAAAUAAUGCCUGUACCAUAACCGACACAGGUGGGUAGGUAGAGUAUACUAAGGGGCGCGAGAUAACUCUCUCUAAGGAACUCGGCAAAAUGACUCCGUAACUUCGGGAGAAGGAGUGCCUUAUUUAUAAGGUUGCAAUAACAAGAUCCAAGCAACUGUUUAUCAAAAACACAGGUCUCCGCAAAGUCGUAAGACGAUGUAUGGGGGCUGACGCCUGCCCAGUGCCAGAAGGUUAAAGAAGUUGGUUAGCAUUAGCGAAGCUGAUAACUGAAGCCCUGGUGAACGGCGGCCGUAACAAUAACGGUCCUGAGGUAGCGAAAUUCCUUGUCGGGUAAGUUCCGACCCGCACGAAAGGCGUAAUGAUUUGGAUACUGUCUCAGAGCGGGGCUCGGUGAAAUAGACUUGUCUGUGAAGAUGCGGACUACCUGCACCAGGACAGAAAGACCCUAUGAAGCUUUACUGUAACUUGAAAUUGAAAUUGGACUUUAUUUGCGCAGUAUAGGUGGGAGGCAUUGAUAAUAUUCUUGCGGGAAUGUUGGAGCCAUCAGUGAGAUACCACUCUUGUAAUGUUAGAUUUCUAACUUUGGAUCAUUAUCUGGUCAAAGGACAGUUUCAGGCGGGCAGUUUGACUGGGGCGGUCGCCUCCUAAAUGGUAACGGAGGCGCACAAAGGUUUCCUCUGAACGGGUAGAAAUCGUAUCUAGAGUGUAAAGGCAUAAGGAAGCUUGACUGUGAGACCUACAAGUCGAGCAGGGACGAAAGUCGGUCUUAGUGAUCUGACGGUGCUGAGUGGAAAGGCCGUCACUCAACGGAUAAAAGUUACUCUAGGAUAACAGUCUGAUCUCCCCCAAGAGUUCACAUCGACGGGGAGGUUUGGCACCUUGAUGUCGGCUCAUCGCAUCCUGGGGCGGUAGUACGUCCCAAGGGUUGGGCUGUUCGCCCAUGAAAGCGGUACGCGAGCUGGGUUCAGAACGUCGUGAGACAGUUCGGUCCAUAUCCGGUGUAGGCGUUAGAAUAUUGAGAGGAGCCUUCUUUAGUACGAGAGGACCGAGAAGGACAUACCUCUGGUGUACCAGUUAUCGUGCCAACGGUAAACGCUGGGUAGCUAUGUAUGGAGAGGAUAACCGCUGAAAGCAUCUAAGUGGGAAGCCCACCUCAAGAUAAGUAUUCC
rnacentral:rRNA from 1 species